UCACCUUCACUCCGUAUUCCUCAAGUUUUUCAGAUAACCCUAAGUCUUGAACCCAUCACCCACACCGUAUUCGCCUUAAGGCUGAUCGCCGCUGCAUCAAUGUUUUCAUCAUCUCACUCACUCUCGCGCAUGUCACCAACUCUGAACCCUAGCUCUCGAACCCGUCACCCACUCUGAACCCUCUCAAAUCCAUCACCCACUUCGUCCUCACCGUAAAGCUCAGCCUCUCGUUGCCGCAUCGCCGUUUCCACUACCAAAAAACAAAUUGAAGAUUGCGACACAUAGCUUGCGACUCGAGAAGGAGAAAACCGAAGAGCUCUUGAAAGCCAAAGACGAGAUCUUGAAACAAAAGGAUGAAGAACUUGAAAAUCGUGGCAAGGAACAAGAGAAAAUUCAGAUUGAGUUUAAGAAAUUACAAAAAUUGAAGGAAUUCAAACCCACCAUGGCUGGAAGAUACAAAAACCUUGAAGAAAAUCCCUUAUUUCCAGAAAAUUUACUAUCAUCACUUGUGCCAUCUUACUCCUUCACACAGACACAUGAUUUCUAACCACUUACCCGGGACCGGCAAGACUGCAUUAGCUCUUGGGAUAUGUCAAGAGCUUGGGACCAAGGUUCCAUUUUGCCCAAUGGUAGGUUCAGAAGUAUAUUCAACAGAAGUAAAGAAGACUGGGGUUUAUGCACAUUGUAUAGGUAGCUGUUGGGGUUGUUAUAUAUAUUGAGGCAAAUAGCGGGGCUGUGAAAAGGGUUGGCCGAAGUGAUGCUUUUGCUACUGAGUUUGACCUUCAAGCAGAGGAGUAUGUUCCACUUCCUAAUGGAGAGGUUCACAAGAAAAAAGAGAUUGUUCAGGUUUGGAAUACCCCGAGCCAUCAUAAGUGAUCAGGGCACUCAUUUUUGCAACCACACCAUGGACGCUUUGCUUCAGAAGUAUGGGGUUGUGCAUAGAGUUGCUACACCUUAUCAUCCCCAGACUAAUGGGCAAGCUGAAGUCUCAAAUAGUGAAAUCAAACAAAUCUUAGAAAAGAUGGUGCAACCAAACAGGAAAGAUUGGAACCACCGACUUGAAGAAGCUCUUUGGGCUCAUAGAACAACCUACAAAACACCAAUAGGAAUGACCCCUUAUCGACUUGUGUUUGGUAAGGCAUGCCACCUACCAGUAUAAAUAGAGCACCGUGCUUAUUGGGCGGUCAAGAGUUGUAACCUUGAGAUGGAGAAAGCAGGUUUGGAGAGAAAGCUUCAAUUGCAACAACUUGAAGAGCUUAGACUUGAAGCUUACGAGAACUCUCGCAUCUAUAAGGAGAAAACUAAGUACUUUCAUGAUAAGAUGAUUUCUAGGAAGAAAUUUUCCAUUGGCCAAAAAGUUUUAUUGUUCAACUCCCGUUUGAAAAUUAUGGCUGGGAAACUUCGAUCGAAGUGGAUUGGCCCUUUUGUAGUUACUAACAUUUUUCCUCAUGGUGCAGUAGAAAUAAAAAGUGAAAACACCGAAAAAAAUGUUCAAAGUAAAUGGACAACGCCUCAAGCUAUUCCAUGAGAGCUUUAUGCCUGAAGAUUCUACCAUACAAGAACUCUCAUUGGAAAAGCCCACCUACACUGAAGUUUAAACAGGGAGGUCAUAACUUGAGUUCUGGAUAUCGGAUUGGCACAUAUGAGCAGGCAUUGGAAAGAUAAAAAUCUGAGCUACAACCUUUGUGUUGGAAGGAAAGAUCAAUUCCGAACUUUACUGGGCCAAAAUUGCAAAUUUCAUAAUCUGGAUAUUUGUAAUAAUUUUAAUUAGCGGACCACUUGUUUUUAAACCCUAAAGACCAAAAAUAAGUACUAUAUAUUGGCAGUUUUGUUUCUUUUCUA